GACCACCGAAGAGACAGCAUGUAACCUGCCCAGCUGAAAAAGAGCCAGAUAAGGACAUACUGAUGACCAUGCCUCAAGGAAACAGGCUCUGACCUGAGAGCUGGAGCUAGGCUGGAAUGAACCAGAAGAAGAAAUGCAGACAAUCCCAUUGAUCUUUUAAACAUUCUAUGUGUGUGUGUACACUUACAGCUAUCAACGGACAACUUUCAGAAAGUUCCAGACAAGCCCAGGCAUCUCAGCGAAAGCACGUCUCCAAAGGGAAAGGGAAAAGAAAUGGAGCUGGGUGGUGGAUCACUGGACCUCUGCUCAACCCCUCCCACUCCUGCGCCUCAGGAACAACAGGUUCCAAUUGGAAGUCCUCAAACAUCUGACCAGCAGGUGGCGCUAAACACCCGCGCCUCCUCUUAGGCCUGCCGGGGUCUACUUACAAAUUCUGUCUGUAUCCUUGCACAGCGACCUGCCCUUGACGGGGUCUGGAUGUAGCCCUUAGGAUAACGAGAUGGCAACCCAAAUGUUCACUUCAGCCUGGUAAGCGUAGGGCGGUGGAGCAGGCACCUAGUGUGAGCUGAACUCAAUAAAGAGUCAGGAAAAGGGUGGAGAGGCCAAUGCCUUACAUAAAACAAAGAAACCCAGCCAACAAACCACAAUCCCAGAGAACUUAGACCACCAUGAGGACACUAAGAGAGACUUACAUAGGUCUAAU